AAGAGAAACUUAGGUUUUAUCCCGAAACCUUUCUCCUCACCUCUUCCCGUGCGACGCUGAUUUUGCCCAAGCGAAGACGAAAAUGAAGCCCUAGCUUCACUCCGGUAGCCGAUCGAGGGGGUUCUCCGAGAGCUAGAUACACCGUUGUGAUCCUCUCGUCGAGGAGCCGUGAGCACAAGAAGAGACUGAGAUUUGGAGCUCACCUGAAACCCUAAAGGUCUUCCUCGGCUGUAAUUCCCAGAAACAGCAUUAUAGAGCAAAGGAAAAGCUAUAGCAAAGGAAGGCGACAAGGAGGUGUUCGAUGAUGUGUGAUGCCAGGACUAUGGGAGAGACUUGGGAUGUUAUUGAGUUUUUCGCAUUUUAGUGAUUAAUAAAUAUUUGAAAUUGUACUUUAAGAUCCAUGUCAUUUGGGAUUAUUUUUGUUUUAGAUUGCAUGCUAAGAUGAACUCAGUUUAGUAAGUAUGUAUUUUGGGCGUUUGACGAUUA